AAUACCGAAACAUUAUAGCCAUAAAGUAAAAAAGUAUAAUAUUAUAAUUUAAGAUAUGAUAUUAUAAUAUUAUUUAUAAUUUAUUCAAUCAUUUUAUGCAUGAUGGAUAUUACACUCAUAUAUGUUAGUGGAAAUAUUGUGCUGGUGUAUAAGCAAGUUUCCAUUCGUUGAAGGCCAAAUGUGGAUAAAAUUGGCCUAGCGUAAUUCUAAGUUCGUGACUAAUGCGACUUGUCUAUGCUGUUCAUGAGGG
rnacentral:lncRNA from 1 species